rnacentral:rRNA from 1 species
UACGUAGGGGGCAAGCGUUGUCCGGAAUCAUUGGGCGUAAAGCGCGUGUAGGCGGUUCGGUAAGUCUGCUGUGAAAGUCCAGGGCUCAACCCUGGGAUGCCGGUGGAUACUGUCGGACUAGAGUACGGAAGAGGCGAGUGGAAUUCCAGGUGUAGCGGUGAAAUGCGUAGAUAUCUGGAGGAACACCGGUGGCGAAGGCGGCAUCCUGGACCGGCAUUGACGCUGAGGCGCGAAAGCUAGGGGAGCAAACGGG